GACGAACCGUGCAAACGUUAUUCGGAAUCACUGGGCUUAAAGGGCGCGUAGGCGGGCCGCCAGGUCCGGGGUGAAAGCCUCCAGCUCAACUGAAGAAGUGCCUUGGAUACCGGCGGCCUCGAGGGAGGUAGGGGCGUGCGGAACUUCGGGUGGAGCGGUGAAAUGCGUAGAUAUCCGAAGGAACACCGGUGGCGAAAGCGGCGCGCUGGAUCUCUUCUGACGCUGAGGCGCGAAAGCCAGGGGAGCAAACGGG
rnacentral:rRNA from 1 species